GCCUGGGUGGCUCAGUUGGUUAAGUGUCCGACUUCAGCUCAGGUCAUGAUCUCGCGGUCCGUGGGUUCGAGCCCCACGUCGGGCU
rnacentral:tRNA from 1 species